rnacentral:misc_RNA from 1 species
AAUUAUCAGAGUCCUAACUUGUGUUGGGAUUUUGGAUUUAUGGAGGAUUUGCUGCUGGAAAUCAGCUCCUCUGAAAUGUAUUAGCAGAAAGACCCUAUAACGCUAAGCAGUUUGGUGUGAUAAUACUUAUUUCUACACCAUUAUUGAGUACAUGGGUUUCAGCUUCUAAUUGUCCACUUUUCAUUGGGACAAACUCUUCAAU